UAUACCACAGUUUGAGAACCAUGGAGCUAAAGUGACCAGUGGAAUUGACGUGGCUCUUCUCAGGGUCUACUUGGUUAUUACAUAAUGUUCAACAGACUUGGUAUUCAUGGUAACAGGAUGGAACCCAACCCUGAGUCAGGCCUCAAAAGGCUGAUGCCUAUGUAUUAUGUAAAAAUGACUUUAUUAGUGACUAAAUAAGUGCCCAAAUGUCCCUGGUUGUUUGUUAAUGUCUUCAUUUAUGAAAUGGCUGAAUGUGAAUGUUUGGAUCAGUGUUGUUUUUGUCAUAUUUGUUGAUUCCAGCCUUGAGCUGUAGAUUUCCAGGAAUGUGAGCUCAGCAGAACGGAAGCAGCUCCUCCCUCUCCUGUCCGCUCCUUCGAUAACCCCCUCACCCGCGCUCCGCUCACAUCAUCACAUUUCACCGGGCCACUCGCCGCCACAGCCAGAGGAUGGAGCGUUAAAAAUGGCAAAGCUUACAGGGACACAGGAGCUGUUGGCUAUUACUUCUUUAAGGACCACUCAGUGGUGAAGUGGCUUGUGGCCUCACAGCAAGAAGGUCGCUGGUUCGGAUCCUACCCUGUGUGCGUGCAGGAUCUCUCCCGGUGCACAACACCUUUCACCCUACGUCAGCU